UACGUAGGGUGCGAGCGUUAAUCGGAAUUACUGGGCGUAAAGCGUGCGCAGGCGGUUUCUGAAGUCCGUUGUGAAAGCCCCGGGCUUAACCUGGGAAUGGCAGUGGAAACUAGAGAACUCGAAUCUGGCAGAGGGGGGUGGAAUGCCACGUGUAGCAGUGAAAUGCGUAGAUAUGUGGCGGAACACCGAUGGCGAAGGCAGCCCCCUGGGCUGAGAUUGACGCUCAGGCACGAAAGCGUGGGGAGCAAACAGG
rnacentral:rRNA from 1 species